UUUUCUAGAGAGAGGAUUGAACUUUUACCAGUUAGUUGCAUUGUUUUUUUGCACAUUUUUUCAAUAUUUUCCUUUAAAUUGAAGCGAGUGCGAUAGCAACUUCUAAAAGCGCAUCGGCGGCGAUUCGCCUUAGCAGAUCGGCAGCGUCAGCCUUCCGGGCGUCCAGCGCCAGCCUUCCCCACACUCCAUCUGCCGCCGGCGAAUUGACUCGCUCAGAUCUCGCCGCUGCUAAUGUUCCCCAGUGGCAGCAACAUCUCUUCUUCCACUCUGUUCUCUGCCUCGUGCCUCAACCCCGUUGCAUCCCGCCCCUACUCCUCUUCUGCCCAGCUAUAGCCCCCCGGUAGUCCCCCCUGGCUCAACACAAACUCUAUAUAUCUUUAAUGACGCUGAGGAAAACUCCUCUUCCUCGUCUUGUCCUUGACAAUGUCUCUUGCAUGAGAAAUGCACAACAGAUUCUCCGCCAUGUCAAUGCUACUGUUCACGAUGGAUCAGCUCUCGUUCUAUCAGGUACCAAUGGCUCAGGAAAAACUACUUUGCUGCGCAUGUUAGCUGGCUUCAACAAACCAACUGCUGGGCAGGUGCUGUGGAAUGGCCACGACAUCACUAAAUCAGGUGUUUUCCAUCAGUACAAGCUUCAGCUGAACUGGCUCGCACUCAAAGAUGGCAUCAAGGAUAAAUUCACAGUCCGGGACAAUGUUUUAUGGUUCGAGCUUCUUGAAGGAAAGGAAGGGAAUUCACUGCCUGCCCUAGAGCUUAUGGGGCUGGGGAAGCUAGUUAAUGAGAAAGCAAGAAUGCUGUCCAUGGGACAGCGGAAAAGGCUGCAACUUGCGAGGUUACUAGCUAUGGACAGGCCAAUAUGGUUGCUUGAUGAACCUUCAGUCGCGCUGGAUGGUGAAGGCGUGAAGUUGCUCGAGUAUAUCAUCCACGAACAUAGGAAGAAAGGGGGGAUUGUCAUUUGCGCCACGCAUCUUCCUAUUGCAAUGGAGGAUCCCAUGGUUUUGAGGUUGCCACCCAGGUUCCCCAGAAGGAUGACUUUAGUCGACAUGCUCGAUCGCGGUGGACCUGAUUGAAACUUGCAAGAUUUGCAUGUUAUUUUAGUUCAUAAACCUGUAGCUGUGCUCGUGAAAAACUCACAUUCGUGUGCAAUAGCUGCGAAUUACGUAGGAUUGGUAAACAUUACUUGGAAAACCAGACCCAGGAACUAGAGCUAUUCGGUCUGUACUCUGGCAUAUAAAUGACGGCAUUAUGUUCACCAUGAAAUGACUCGAACUUGGAUCUCGAUCUGUUUGAGAAUGUUCGUCAUAAUCAUGACCAAGAACGUUGUCGUUGCUGUUGCCGAUCUCUAAUAGUGGAGCUGUCUACAUGGAAAUUUGCUAACAAGAUUGGCACAAUAUUCCUGUCUUUAGCAAGAAAGGAAAUGAAUAAAGUGAACCUGUGCUGUGCUGAAGACCGAUCUCUGUCUCAAAAUGUAUGAAUUGUUAUUAAGAUGCAGAUUAGCUACUGCUAGGAAAUAAAAAUGAUCAUACAAAGCAUGUAUGAAGUUAUUGUGUGAUUACUAUUUCAUACUGUUGCUGCA